rnacentral:rRNA from 1 species
AGUGAACGCUGGCGGUAGGCCUAACACAUGCAAGUCGAACGGCAGCACAGUAAGAGCUUGCUCUUACGGGUGGCGAGUGGCGGACGGGUGAGGAAUACAUCGGAAUCUACUUUUUCGUGGGGGAUAACGUAGGGAAACUUACGCUAAUACCGCAUACGACCUACGGGUGAAAGCAGGGGAUCUUCGGACCUUGCGCGAUUGAAUGAGCCGAUGUCGGAUUAGCUAGUUGGCGGGGUAAAGGCCCACCAAGGCGACGAUCCGUAGCUGGUCUGAGAGGAUGGUCAGCCACACUGGAACUGAGACACCGGCCAGACUCCUACGGGAGGCAGCAGUGGGGAAUAUUGGACAAUGGGCGCAAGCCUGAUCCAGCCAUACCGCGUGGGUGAAGAAGGCCUUCGGGUUGUAAAGCCCUUUUGUUGGGAAAGAAAAGCAGCAGGUUAAUACCCCGCUGUUCUGACGGUACCCAAAGAAUAAGCACCGGCUAACUUCGUG